GCGUUGGUGGUGUAAUGGUCACCUUAGUUGCCUUCCAAUCAGUUGAUCCGGGUCCGAUUCCCGGCCAAGGCU
rnacentral:tRNA from 1 species